AUUGAACGCUGGCGGCAUGCCUUACACAUGCAAGUCGAACGGCAGCACGGGAGCAAUCCUGGUGGCGAGUGGCGAACGGGUGAGUAAUAUAUCGGAACGUGCCCAGUCGUGGGGAUAACGUAGAGAAAUUUACGCUAAUACCGCAUACGAUCUAAGGAUGAAAGCGGGGGGACCGUAAGGCCUCGCGCGAUUGGAGCGGCUGAUAUCAGAUUAGGUUGUUGGUGAGGUAAAAGCUCACCAAGCCGACGAUCUGUAGCUGGUUUGAGAGAACGACCAGCCACACUGGGACUGAGACACGGCCCAGACUCCUACGGGAGGCAGCAGUGGGGAAUUUUGGACAAUGGGCGCAAGCCUGAUCCAGCAAUGCCGCGUGCAGGAUGAAGGCCUUCGGUU
rnacentral:rRNA from 1 species